CACACACUUCUAGAGCUGAGGGGGGCGUACCUUGUUCCGUUAUGAAGGAGUGAAAGAGCCCUUGACUAAAGUGGUGAAGCCUGAAGAAGGAUCAGAUUGAGGGAGAAGAUCAAGAGUUUGGCUUUGAGAAGAUGUUUCAGGCACUGGAGAUGAAGUUAAAAUCAGACACACAUAGUCCCAUCCUCAGGGAGCAACAGCCAGUGGGAAGAUAAACCAACCGAUAUAUACUGUUACAGCCGGAGGUGCUGGGAAGGGCACAACAGAAGGCUUGGCUCCAUAAGUAUUGGUGGAAUGGCCAACGGAGUGAAUGAACAUCUCUUACUGUAGCUCCCUAAGGCCGUUGAAGCUGGUGAGAAGAAGCUUGGCUUGGAGCCACCCGCACCCAGGGUCUGCCUUUCCUGAAGCCAGAGGUGACAACUGCCUGUGCAAUAUGAUAUAAAACCCUCCUCUCUGCCCUGCCUACUGCCAACACGCCAGUGGUCACUGCCUGAGCCCCCCCCCCCCCCCCAUUAGCAUCUUAGAGCCUAGGCAGCUCAGUUCUCUUUCUGGCUCUCCUGACCUUGGGCACGUCCCUUCCUUUCUUGGACACUAGGAGGGGGGUUGCACUAAACUCCUCUGAGGUCCCUGCAGGCCUAGCUGUCUAUUUGUUUCUUCCUAACUCACUUAUUGCUCUUCUAAGGUAGAAAUGUAAAGGUGGUGACCUGGAGAACCCCAAGAGGGCUGGGGGACGCCUGGGCACCUGGAGUGUGAGCUGGGCCCCUUCCUCCGUCCUCUGGAUGGCAGAGGCUGUGGACUAGGAGUCGGGAGGGAGAAGGACACUGGAAGAGGCCUUCAGCCCCUUGCGGCCCUUUAAAUGCUGCCAGAAUGACUCCUGCUCCCCAGAUUGCUUCCUGCGGCUGUCAGACACGCGUCAAGGUCAGGGGUGUGCAUCUGCCCCAGACACAGCAAUAAUGGCUUCUAAUGGACUGUAAACAGGUGAAGUU